AGUGAACGCUGGCGGUAGGCCUAACACAUGCAAGUCGAACGGCAGCACAGUAAGAGCUUGCUCUUACGGGUGGCGAGUGGCGGACGGGUGAGGAAUACAUCGGAAUCUACUUUUUCGUGGGGGAUAACGUAGGGAAACUUACGCUAAUACCGCAUACGACCUACGGGUGAAGGCAGGGGAUCUUCGGACCUUGCGCGAUUGAAUGAGCCGAUGUCGGAUUAGCUAGUUGGCGGGGUAAAGGCCCACCAAGGCGACGAUCCGUAGCUGGUCUGAGAGGAUGAUCAGCCACACUGGAACUGAGACACGGUCCAGACUCCUACGGGAGGCAGCAGUGGGGAAUAUUGGACAAUGGGCGCAAGCCUGAUCCAGCCUUACCGCGUGGGUGAAGAAGGCCUUCGGGUUGUAAAGCCCUUUUGUUGGGAAAGAAAAGCAGCAGGUUAAUACCCCGCCGUUCUGACGGUACCCAAAGAAUAAGCACCGGCUAACUUCGUG
rnacentral:rRNA from 1 species